rnacentral:ribozyme from 1 species
UGUCGGCGAGGUCCUCCCCUCGGAGCGCGGCUUCGUGCGCUCCACGAUCUCGAAGAG